rnacentral:sRNA from 1 species
AUUAUCCUCCUUGAUGAAAGAGCUCCCAGCCAGCACUGGCCACUCCAGAGCCUCCUCCCCAGAUGCUGCCAGGGUCCCUGAAGAGGGAAGACACGCGGAAACAGGCUUGCACCCAGACACGACACCAUGCAUCUCCUCGGCCCCUGGCUCCUGCUCCUGGAGCCCUAGAUCGUGACCUGGAAAGCUUCAUCCUGUUCCACAAUCCUGAGUAUAACAAGAACACCUCGAAGUUUGAUGGGACAAGACUCUAUGAAAGCACAAAGGAUGGGAAGGUUCCUUCUGAGCAGAAAAGGGUGCAAUUCCUGGGAGACAAGAAUAAGAACUGCACACUGAGUAUCCACCCGGUGCACGUCAAUGACAGUGGUCAGCUGGGGCUGAGGAUGGAGUCCAAGACUGCGAAAUGGAUGGAACGAAUACACCUCAAUGUCUCUGAAAGGCCUUUUCCACCUCAUAUCCAGCUCCCUCCAGAAAUUCAAGAGUCCCAGGAAGUCACUCUGACCUGCUUGCUGAAUUUCUCCUGCUAUGGGUAUCCGAUCCAAUUGCAGUGGCUCCUAGAGGGGGUU